UGCAGUUUUAGAGGCAAUCUCCCCUUCCUUCUUUAGCGCCUGACUCUGUGUUCUUUUUUUUCCCUUUUCUCUUUUAUCAAGCUUGUUUUCAAAUCAUUCCCUCUCCUCUUCCCUUUUCAGAUUUGUUUAUGAUAAUUUUGCAGCAAUUAAUCACCCCAAGGAGUAAUGAAGAGGUGAGUUUUGGAAAUAGUGAUGAUGCGAAGAUGAUGGAUAUUGAGGAAGUAGAAGUUGUGGAUGGCCAGGCAUGUUUUAGGUACUCUCAAUAGCGGGAUUGUCUACUUCUCUUGAUGUUCGUGUAUCGCUCUAUGAUGAGAUUAUGGCCAUUUUUGAUAAAUAGUUUGAUAUAACGAUUAUAGAUAUUUUAUUCGUCGAAUAUCAAUAUGUAAUACAUUUGAACAUCUUAUUUACGAGUAAUAUCUUACGUCA